rnacentral:rRNA from 1 species
GUCUACAGUCAUGCCACCCUGAACUCGCCCAAUCUCAUCUGAUCUCAGAAGCUAAGCAGGAUUGGGCCUGGUUAGUACUUGGAUGGGAGACCACCUAGGAAGACCAGGUGCUGUAGGCA